AGCGAACGUUAGCGGCGGGCUUAACACAUGCAAGUCGAGCGAGAACGGGACCUUCGGGUCCUUAUUAGAGCGGCGCACGGGUGAGUAACACGUGGGUAAUCUGCCCUCCGGAGGGGGACAACCACUCGAAAGGGUGGCUAAUACCGCAUAAGUCAACCAGCACUGCGGAGCUGGUUGGGAAAGCUGGCCUCUUCUUGAAAGCUGGCACCGGAGGAGGAGCCCGCGUCGCAUCAGCUUGAUGGUGGGGUAACGGCCUACCAUGGCAAAGACGCGUAGCUGGUCUGAGAGGAUGAUCAGCCACACUGGGACUGAGACACGGCCCAGACUCCUACGGGAGGCAGCAGUGGGGAAUAUUGGACAAUGGGCGAAAGCCUGAUCCAGCCACGCCGCGUGAGUGAUGAAGGCCCUCGGGUCGUAAAGCUCUGUGGAGAGGGACGAAAGCCUGCAGGUUAAUACCCUGUAGUUUGACGGUACCUCUUUAGCAAGCACCGGCCAACUACGUGCCAGCAGCCGCGGUAAUACGUAGGGUCCGAG
rnacentral:rRNA from 1 species